GACGAACGCUGGCGGUGUGCUUAACACAUGCAAGUGGAGCGACGAACCAGGGCUUGCCCUGGGGCAGAGCCGCGAACGGGUGAGUAACACGUGGGUAACCUACCCCGAUGACUGGGACAACCCGAGGAAACUCGGGCUAAUACCGGAUGUGUCCGACGUCCACGAGGACGUCGAGCAAAGGAAGCUUCGGCCUCCGCAUCGGGAGGGGCCCGCGGCCCAUUAGCUUGUUGGUGGGGUAACGGCCUACCAAGGCUGCGAUGGGUAGCUGGUCUGAGAGGACGAUCAGCCACACUGGGACUGAGACACGGCCCAGACUCCUACGGGAGGCAGCAGUGGGGAAUCUUGCGCAAUGCGCGAAAGCGUGACGCAGCAACACCGCGUGAGGGAAGACGGCCUUCGGGUUGUAAACCUCUUUCAGGAGGGACGAAGGCCGGCCGGUUAACAGCCGUGCCGGCUGACGGUACCUCCACAAGAAGCUCCGGCUAACUACGUGCCAGCCGCCGCAGUAACAC
rnacentral:rRNA from 1 species